UGGCAGGGAUAGUAGGAAUUGAACCCACACCGACGGUUUUGGAGACCGUAGUUCUACCUUUAAACUAUAUCCCU
rnacentral:tRNA from 1 species